AACGAACGCUGGCGGCAGGCUUAACACAUGCAAGUCGAGCGCCCCGCAAGGGGAGCGGCAGACGGGUGAGUAACGCGUGGGAAUCUACCCAUCUCUACGGAAUAACGCAUGGAAACGUGUGCUAAUACCGUAUACGUCCUUCGGGAGAAAGAUUUAUCGGAGAUGGAUGAGCCCGCGCUGGAUUAGCUAGUUGGUGGGGUAAAGGCCUACCAAGGCGACGAUCCAUAGCUGGUCUGAGAGGAUGAUCAGCCACACUGGGUCUGAGACACGGCCCAUACACCUACGGGUGGCUGCAGUCGAGAAUUUUCCGCAAUGGGCGAAAGCCUGACGGAGCGACGCCGCGUGGAGGAUGAAGUUCUUCGGAACGUAAACUCCUUUUGCCAGGGAAGAAGUUAUUGACGGUACCUGGAGAAUAAGAGGUUGCUAAACUCGUGCCAGCCGCCGCCGUAACAC
rnacentral:rRNA from 1 species